UUAUCUGCUGGCAAGUCCUGGAAGAUGGUAACAAAACAGUUUCUGCUGAGAUCCCAGAGCCAGUAGCUGCCACUCCAAGGAGAGCUGACUCAACCACUUUGGAUUCGAGCUGUCACUCAAAAGAGAGCUGACUCGACCACUUUGGACUUAUAAAUAAGUUUGUACUGCCAUUGCAGUCGUUGUCAUCAUCGCCGUGGACCCGUUGUCAACAGAACAACAACGUCUGACGACCCACCACUACUGAAGAUCAAUCACUGAACUACGAACCACGUUGGACCAUGGUGAUGGCAGCAGAGGGACAAUCUGACCAAAUAGUGUCUGACAUGGAAAUGUGAAUGAAGCAAAGUGUAUGGGAACUGUUGAAUCAAGGCCGGAACCUCUGAUUGACCACCUGAGGUGAGCGCUGAGUCAGCCACAGGGGCACAGGUGAAUGCAAUUUCACCUGAGUGACCAGAGCCAGGCUCCACCCCUCCUAGACCCCAUUUAAGGGCUGACUCCCAGGAAGGAAGGUUCUCUAUCUGAGGAUCACUCCUCUUGGAGUGCUUCUGUAAGCCUGGGAUACAGUGUAAAGGAAGAUGACUAUUUGUGGAAUGCAGCCACUAGUUGAAUGCUGUCCACUGGAGUGAAGGAGAGUCUCCUAGCUAACAAUUGUCAGCAGGCUACAAUUUACACUCAGUCCAAGCCUUUUCCAUUUCUUUGAUUGUGACAAAACUGUAAUUCCUGUCUAUGAUAAAAUCUUUAUUGUUAUAUCCCAUGGAUGCUCUCACCUUACUCAUUGGAUUGGAUUUGUCCAGUUUUUGACAAUGAAAUAUCCCAGAAAUUUCCAGUUUCUUCUACAGCUGCUUUCUUCUAACUGUUUAAGGAGGAAUAGUAAAAGUCUGUUCCCAGCUGCAGUGAAAUGUAAAUAAUAAAUUUCCAGAGCAUGGAAUGAGUAAUACAAUCUAUUGAAGAAACCUGGAAAUAAAACCAAGGGAGAGGUUUCUCCUUCUACUUUCUGUUGUGGCUCUGUCCAUUUCUGAUUUCCAAUUAUCCCUGAAGUAUGAAUCUAAUCCAUACAGAGACUGUGAUGAUGAAUUAAAAUAGUUUGAUUUUUUUAACUAAUACAAAAGUUAAAAUACAGUAUUCAAAAUCACAGAAGUUUAAAUGUUUUUGUUAGAACUGCUAGCAAAUAUUUCCUACAGUCUUCCAGUUGCAACUGGAACUUAAGGGCACACUGCAGUCUUGAAUUCUUCUUUUAAAGUAAAUUCCCUCAAAUAAUCUUGAUACUAAACCAUAUAUUUGAUUUAAUUCCAAAUUUAUUACCAAAAUGUAGAAACAUCC
ensembl:lncRNA